GAGCUCCGCUGCGCGCGCAGCCCCGGUGCCUACCUGAGGAGGAGCUGCCCGCACACUCAUCCCGCGGGCACUUAGUUCUCUCGGGUUUUCCUGGGUUUUCUUCAGAAAUACAUAAUAUCCUGUUUCUUCAUGAAAUCCUGUUUUUAUUUUACAUAAAAUCCUGUUUUUUUUUCAAAAAUACAUAAAAGCCUUCCUAUUUCUGUUUGCUUCGUAUUUUCCUCAUAUUCAAGGGAUCUGAAAUUAUCUCCUAGGAAGGCAAUGUGCAGCAGACGGGGGCCUCUGACAAGGAAUGGCGAGGGCCCCCAAGGAACUGUCAUCACGCCGAUAACCUUGGAUAGCCACAAUUUUAUUUAGAAUAUAAAACAUGGAACUCGACUUCGGAAUUUUAGUCUAGAAAUGGGGACUUCCCCCUAGCUUUUAUGAUUUUUGAAACUCCUGCUUGGACGCAAUCGUCAUCUUGCAUAAUCGACAGUAAUUUUCAGGUUAAUGGAAUUUUGCAAACUUUAAGCAAAGCACAUCAAUCAGGCUCAGUGCUGCGGCUUUUCUUCGCAUCACCGGGGUAGAAUAGCACCUCUACUCCCAGAACUUAAUCCAGGCGAAUGCAGAAGGCCUUUGCUGGUUUUCUGGUUUGGGUAGUCUUUGGGUAUUCACUUGGAAACAAGGCGAAUUGAUGGAUGGAUAGAGUGAUGGAUGGAUAUGUAAUAAAUAUAAUAUAGUUCAAUGACAGGAUCUAGAUGGUGGGUGUAGGAGAGUUUACUGUAGAAUUCAACUUUUCUGUGUAUUUUAAAGGUUUUCAUACUAAAAUUGGUGGUGAAGUGGUGUUGUCACACAGAUUUGACCAAAUCCCUGCUGCGUAUUAGCUGUGUGAGAUUGGGACAACAUGCCCAAUACUCAAGUUUUCUUGACUGAUGUGGACAAUUACGUAUCCCAUGGGAUUGGUACAAAAAAGUCAAAAGAACAUUCCCCGCACUACCAGAGGCCCUCGAAUCAAGGGCGGCCCCGAGUGGGGGGGAAAAGAAAUGCAAGCCAGCGGAGGAUGCUGAAUUGUGGAGGUCGGCUCUCGGAAACGCCUGCAGCCAGGCAGAGGAGUUGCGGUACCGCAGUUUCGUUGCAUCGGGCUGGCCUUCAGGUUGUGCGACUUAGCCUGGAACCUCUGAAUGCAAGACUCCGACCUGAGAAUGCGCUUCAAGGACACCCCCGAAGCACCCAGAAAGCCACCGCCAGCCUAUUUUUUACGCUCCUUUUCCAGCAUGCUUCUCCCACCCCCCAGUAUCUGUCUGCUCGUUCCCUAGGGGUCUUAGAAGUCUUUUGCUUCCAGAAAUGACAACCAUAUUCCCUGACUCUACGACAUCCCAGGCUGUUUAUUUCGUCUUAUGCCAGUUUCAUUUUAGAAAAUGCGAAUGUUGUCACCGAACCCUGAGGAAACCUGCUGUAAAAUAUGCGGGUUUAGCGAGAAGAAGCGGAGCGAGUGUGCGUUGCGCUCUUAGAGACUGAGGACAGCCAGCCCGAGGGCCUAGAAACAGCGUUAACCGCGCUGAGCACGCUGCGGGAGGCGGAGGGGUUGGGGCCAUGAGAGGGCGGGGCCGCAUCUAUGGCCCCGCCCCGGCCCUUUGUGACGCAGGACAACGCCUGCCACGCGUCGGAACUCGGCCGCGGGACAUCCACGGGGCGCGAGUGACACACGGGAGGGAGAGCAGUGUUCUGCUGGAGCCGAUGCCAAAAACCAUGCAUUUCUUAUUCAGAUUCAUUGUUUUCUUUUAUCUGUGGGGCCUUUUUACUGCUCAGAGACAAAAGAAAGAGGAGAGCACCGAAGAAGUGAAAAUAGAAGUUUUGCAUCGUCCAGAAAACUGCUCUAAGACAAGCAAGAAGGGAGACCUACUAAAUGCCCAUUAUGACGGCUACCUGGCUAAAGACGGCUCGAAAUUCUACUGCAGCCGGACACAAAAUGAAGGCCACCCCAAAUGGUUUGUUCUUGGUGUUGGGCAAGUCAUAAAAGGCCUAGACAUUGCUAUGACAGAUAUGUGCCCUGGAGAAAAGCGAAAAGUAGUUAUACCCCCUUCAUUUGCAUACGGAAAGGAAGGCUAUGGUAGUACUUGAAGAAGUCUUUCUUCUGCAAAAUAUCCUUGUCUCAUGUCACAGAACAACCCUGCAUGUCUUGAAAUGCAUGUGACUUGUUAGCGCUUAAAUAACAAUACAUGCGCAGAAGGCAAGAUUCCACCGGAUGCUACAUUGAUUUUUGAGAUUGAACUUUAUGCUGUGACCAAAGGACCACGGAGCAUUGAGACAUUUAAACAAAUAGACACGGACAAUGACAGGCAGCUCUCUAAAGCCGAGAUAAACCUCUACUUGCAAAGGGAAUUUGAAAAAGAUGAGAAGCCACGUGACAAGUCAUAUCAGGAUGCAGUUUUAGAAGAUAUUUUUAAGAAGAAUGACCAUGAUGGUGAUGGCUUCAUUUCUCCCAAAGAAUACAAUGUAUACCAACACGAUGAACUAUAGCAUAUUUGUAUUUCUACUUUUUUUUUUAGCUAUUUACUGUACUUUAUGUAUAAAACAAAGUCACUUUUCUCCAAGUUGUAUUUUCUAUUUUUCCCCUAUGAGAAGAUAUUUUGAUCUCCCCAAUACAUUGAUUUUGGUAUAAUAAAUGUGAGGCUGUUUCGCAAACUUAACUUGUAGGAAUGGUAUGAUUGUGUUUCCUACUGCUUUAUUCUGUAAACAAGAAUUGUAGCACCAUGAAACAGACCUCUGGGUCCCAGUGGGCAUUUUUUCCCCUUUCAGGAUGUAGGAGGACAUGUAUAGUAUGUCAAAAACUGCAAGCUUUUCCCAACUUUAACCUUACCAGCAUGUUAAUAUCCAGUUUUUUUAUAGUUUAAAAGUUAAAGUGCCUCAUAUUUUGAAAAUAUCCAGUAAGGACCCAGGAAUUAGCAUUUCAUUUGUUUAUACAUUUUAUAACAUUAUGAAGACGAUAUAAAAAUCCUAGAACUGAAGAGUCUUCCUUUGGUAUAUGUGCAGGAAGAUAGUUGUAUAUCUCUGUUCCACAAAGAACGCAACACAGUCUCUAAACUUUUUGGUGUAAGCUUCUAGCCUUGAAUAUUUUCCAGUGGGGAAUGUUUAAAGAUAUUUGACCAAACCAAAGACUUUUUGCCUCUUAUAGCAAGCAUAAAGACUGUACUGCCUGGCUUUUGUAUUCCUUCAGACAUUAUUGUAAAUGUGCAACUCCUCUUCCCUCUUGUAAACCUUUAUAAGAUGUUUGCCACCCCAAGCUUUUGUCUUGAUAGUUUUAAAUUGAUGCCAUGAAAUUUCUUAGUUUUCGUUCCCUUUCUCUAGUUAUCUCUUUCCUUAUGUCACCUCAUUUCCCAUCAUUCUUGUCACUAAUGAUGAAUGAUCAUUACAAAUUGGUAUGCUGUCAAAUUUUGAUAAAUGUGCCAAAGGAGGAUAUACAGUGCCAUGGCAAUUUUGUGUCAUGGUCAAGUUAUGAUAUCGUAUGACUUGAGAAUAGUAUGUAAGAGAUGCUGUAGAAGAUCACGUUGGUACCAAAGAAAGGGCACAUGUCUAUUGGAACAUAGAUUUUGCAUACUGCAUGGUAUGGUCAGGCUUUGUGUCCACACCCAAAUCUCAUUUUGAAAUUAUAAUCCCCAUAAUUUCCAUAAUCCCCACAUGUCAAUGGAGAGACCAGGUGGAGGUAACUGAAUCAUGGGGGUGGUUUUCCCCGUGCUGUUCUCAUGCAAUCUGAUGGUUUUAUAAGUGUUUGGUAGUUCCUCUUGCAUUCAUUCUCCCACCUGCCACCUUGUGAAGAAAGUCCUUGCUUCCCCGCCUUCCACCAUGAUUGUAAGCUUCCUGAGGCCUCCCCAGCCAUGGGGAACCAUGAGUCAAUUUAACCUCUUUCCUUUACAAAUUACCCAGUCUGGGGCAGUUCUUUAUAGCAGUGUGAAAAUGGACUACUACACUGCAUAUAUAGGAAAGUAUGGUCAGACAGUAAAUAGCUCUGUUCAAAAUAAUUGAGUUCCAAACAAGUAAAGUUUUUUCUACCUUCUGAAACUUGCUCUUUCCAAACCAUUGUUCAUCCUUUAACUUCUUUACACUAUGAAAAAUUCUAUUUAAAAAUAGAGGGCUUUCAGAUGAGUACAUACAAAAACAAACAAAAGUAUACAUAGGGGUAACACAACCAUGAGAUUAGUAAAUAAUACAUAUGGCUAGCACAUAAUUUGACACCUUAUAAAACAAGAAUCUUUACUAUCUUUUCCUUCCUCCCAAUAUUUCUUCAUUUCUAUGCUCAAUUUUCUAAUACUUUUUCACAUGCUUAAUCAUUUACUCUUUCAUCGCCUUCCCUCAAAAAAACCUGCUCCGUUGAAGUAAACUAAGUAACUCAAUAUUCUUUAUUUUGGUUUGGAACCUGUCUCAAUUUUCUGUAUCCAUAUUAAGAAGUCACCCUAUAAUCUAAACUUUGUAAUUCUAAUUUUUUUGUCCCAUUAUCAUACAAAGUGCUUUUAAACUUGUUUUUAAAAAAUGACAGAUAAUGCCACAUGAAUAGGAAGAUGAUUCAUUCUAAAACUUGUAUUUACAUAAUUAAAAAUAAAUUUAUAAUCAUUCUACAUACAA